GGUAAAAUGCUCGGCGGUAGAGCAUCUGCUUUGCAUGCAGAAGGUCCCAGGUUCAAUCCCCAAUUGCAUCU